rnacentral:rRNA from 1 species
GACGAACGCUUGCGGCGUGCCUAAGAAAUGCAAGUCGAACGGGCAGAGGGCUUCGGCUCUUUGUCAGUGGCGAACGGUCGCGUAACACGUAAGCAACCUGCCCCGAAGUGGGGGAUAACAGCCCGAAAGGGCUGCUAAUACCGCAUGUGGCCACGAGAGCGCCUGCUUUUGUGUCCAAAGCCUUGUGCGCUUCGGGAUGGGCUUGCGGCCUAUCAGUUAGUUGGUGGGGUAACGGCCUACCAAGACGUUGACGGGUAGCUGGUCUGAGAGGAUGGUCAGCCGGAUUGGGACUGAGACACGGCCCAGACUCCUACGGGGGGCAGCAAUUAGGAAUCUUGCGCAAUGGGGGCAACCCUGACGCAGCGACGCCGCGUGCGGGAUGACGGGCUUCGGCCUGUAAACCGCUUUUGUCGGGGAAGAACUUUGACGGUACCCGACGAAUAAGCCCCGGCUAACUACGUGCCAGCAGCCGCGGUAAUACGUAGGGGGCGAGCGUUGUCCGAAGUUACUGGGCGUAAAGCGCGCGUAGGCGGCUCUUUAAGUCCGGCGUGAAAGGUUCAGGGCUCAACCCGAACAGUGCGCUGGAGACUGGGGAGCUUGAGGGCGGGAGAGGGAAGCGGAAUUCCGGGUGUAGCGGUGAAAUGCGUAGAUAUCCGGAGGAACACCGAUGGCGAAGGCAGCUUCCUGGUCCGUAUCUGACGCUGAGGUGCGAAAGCGUGGGGAGCGAACGGGAUUAGAUACCCCGGUAGUCCACGCCGUAAACGAUGAGUGCUAGGUGUUCGAGGUAUCGACCCCUCGGGUGCCGCAGCUAACGCAGUAAGCACUCCGCCUGGGGAGUACGGCCGCAAGGUUGAAACUCAAAGGAAUUGACGGGGGCCCGCACAAGCGGUGGAGCAUGUGGUUUAAUUCGUCACUAACCGAAGAACCUUACCCAGGCUUGACAUCGCGUGAAAAGCUGUGAAAGCAGCUCCUCCCUUCGGGGACACAAAGACAGGUGUUGCAUGGCUGUCGUCAGCUCGUGUCGUGAGAUGUUGGGUUAAGUCCCGCAACGAGCGCAACCCUCACCCCAUGUUGCCAGCAGGCCCUCGUGGUGCUGGGCACUCUUGGGGAACUGCCCGUGCAAGCGGGAGGAAGGUGGGGAUGACGUCAAGUCGGCAUGGCCCUUACGCCUGGGGCUACACACAUGCUACAAUGGACGCAGAUAAACAAACGGUAUCCUAAGCCGCGAGGUGGAGGCAAUCCGAGAAAGGCGUCCUCAGUUGGGAUUGCAGGCUGCAACUCGCCUGCAUGAACGCGGAAUCGCUAGUAACCGCCGGUCAGCUAAACGGCGGUGAAUACGUUCCCGGGCCUUGUACACACCGCCCGUCAAGUCACCUGAAUUGUCUGCACCCGAAGUCGCUGGCCUAACCCGGUUUACCGGGAGGGAGGCGCCGAAGGUGUGG